rnacentral:misc_RNA from 1 species
AGAAGUUAAAAGGAAGGAUAAAAUGCCAACGAUUGUGGAGGAUGUAGAAUCAGCGAAGACAGAAGACCCGAGUUUGCUGUUGAUAUCAGCAAAUGAGAAAGUAUUUAAUAUUGGUAGGAAUACACAAACUGAGAACAAGUCUAAUCCAUUAAAAACAAGUCGGACUGGUCUGCAGAAGGGGGCAUCAAGAGUGAUUAUUGGUGUUCCCAGG